rnacentral:rRNA from 1 species
CACGUAGGGCGCAAGCGUUGUCCGGAAUUAUUGGGCGUAAAGAGCUCGUAGGUGGUUUGUUACGUCCGCUGUGAAAUCCUAGGGCUUAACCCUGGGCUUGCAGUGGAUACGGGCAGACUAGAGGUAGGUAGGGGAGAAUGGAAUUCCUGGUGUAGCGGUGAAAUGCGCAGAUAUCAGGAGGAACACCGGUGGCGAAGGCGGUUCUCUGGGCCCUACCUGACACUGAGGAGCGAAAGCGUGGGGAGCGAACAGG